GACGAACGCUGGCGGCGUGCUUAACACAUGCAAGUCGAACGGAAAGUCCCUGCUUGUGUGGGGUGCUCGAGUGGCGAACGGGUGAGUAACACGUGAGUAACCUGCCCUUGACUUUGGGAUAACGUCAGGAAACUCGGGCGAAUACCGGAUAUGAGCUCCUGCUGCAUGGUGUGGGUUGGAAAGGUUCGGCGGUUGGGGAUUGACUCGCGGCUUAUCAGCUUGUUGGUGGGGUAGUGGCAUACCAAGGCUUUGACGGGUAGCCGGCCUGAGAGGGUGACCGGCCACAUUGGGACUGAGAUAGGGACCAGACUCCUACGGGAGGCAGCAGUGGGGAAUAUUGCACAAUGGGCGGGAGCCUGAGGCAGCAACGCCGCGUGCGGGAUGCCGGCCUUCGGGUUGUAAACCGCUUUCGCCUGUGACGAAGCGUGAGUGACGGUAAUGGGUAAAGAAGCACCGGCUAACUACGUG
rnacentral:rRNA from 1 species